ensembl:lncRNA
UGUACACUUCAUGUUGUGAUUCAAAGUGCUCUUUGUUUCAGGAAGUAUAAAUCCCCAAUUUUACAAAGAAAGAAGCAAAAAUGAGAGAAAGAAAACUGUGACACACCGGUUAAAUAAGAACGGAGCCUCAGUUCCACACUGGUUACAAAGAGAGGGAAACAGUCGGUAAAGUCAGCGUAGUUCUUUCGCCUGAAGGACAGCAGCUAUUUGUCCUGACCCCCACAGUCAAUACCAAUAAAUAUGCUGAAAGUUGCCACCAUUUUUCAAGAACCCUCUCCAUCAGGGACACACACACACGAGCUGCUGCUUUGAAAUGACAGCACAGUUAAGUGAGAAGACAUAAUUUGCUUUUUAGAAACAGUAAGACUAUCAUCUUGCACGCUAUCCACGUGAUGUAGAAGACCUGUUUGCUUGCACUGGUCUGCAGUCCUUGCAGCUGAACUCAUUAGCAACCGGGAAAGGGAAAGCAGUGUUAGCCUGAAGCCCUGUGCAUGUCACCCUGUACAACUGCUCCUCCCUGGAAGAGCACGUUGGGCAGAGCAGAGGGUCAGGGCUGCUGCCCCUGCCUGGCCAGCAAGCACCUCUGAGCCUGCCAUCCAUCCCUCAUCUUUAACCAACUCAUAAUAAAUCAUCUCUCCUGCAAAAAUAUUUUGUGACUUCUGGUGAGAGACGCAUUAUAAAUCCACAUGAACAUUUCCUUUUAUUAUCUGUAAAUAGUCUUGGAUUGUUUGAAAUUGUUCCUGCCACUGAUAUCGCUGAUCUCUGAAGAGAUAAACAUGAGCUGAUGGAUGACUUGUCUGCAGGAUCUAUUUCAGCCACCCCCAGCCUCAUGCAGCCAAGCAAUGGGAAGAGGCUCCAUCCCAGAAUAGCCUGUCCUCUCUUCAGGCCUGGAAGCCCUCUGCCAUGUCUCUUGCUGUUUGUUGAAAGCCUCCAUGGAACAAAACUUCAGCCCAGGCCCCCACUUGACACAAGACACUGCAGAAGUUUCUCCUUCCUUCAGCAACGAAGCAAACGCCAGCAGAGAAGAAGGUUCUUUCACCACAGAGGCAGCAUUGCCCUUAAGUGAACCAGCAUCUACACAUGCAAAGCCUUCACCCCAAGUGGGGAAGACCUUUUAACUUGACUCUGCCAGACAUCAAGGGGAUUAAGGGUACCAUUUAACUCGGCCCAACUUCUCAGUUAACAGUAUCCUUGCAUGCACCUCCACUGCUCUUUUGCAGCACUGGGCAAGCUCACUUGAGCCAACUCUUGAGGCUUUUAUCUUUAAAGGAAGCACAGAUAGAAAGUUCAAUAAGCCAUGGAGAUGCAACCCGAAGCAUAACAUAACUGGUUCCAGCCACACAAAGGAAUGGGAACAGCCAGCACCCUGCAAGCUCCAGGGCUGUCACUGAGAGAUCAUAGGCACUGUUGGCCCUGUUGACCUCAACCAGCUACAGCUUUUGAAACCACACAAGGUAUUUUAAGCCGAACUCCCGGAUCUGAAGACAAGAUUUGAGUCUGUUCAGAGCUGUUCUGCUGGCAUCCAACCACAGAACCAAAAUCCUCAUUCAACCCCAAUGAGAUUUUCCUUCCCGGGCACCUCUGAGAUCCUUCAGAACUGAAAAUGCUGGUUUGCCUUUCAUGAACCCAAGUUCCAAUGUUUGCCACCAACGGAGGAAAAAGCCAGCAUUUACCACACAAGGUUUUUUCCUAUACUAAUGGCAGGAAAUACCACAAAUACCAGGAUGAAAUAAAAAUCCACAGCCCCUCCAGAUGCCACAUGAAUUAGCAAGGGCUGGGAGAGCUGGAACAUGAUGAGAAAUCUUACUCCUCUGUCAUCUGGCUCGAGGACAAGGAGGAAAGGUCUCUGAAGAAAGUCAGCUCCCAGGGGGCUCACAACUGAGAAGCGUUUCAGCUGCCCAACUCUCUCAGACCCAGAUGACUUCAUUUUCUUCUGUUGCUACUCCCACUCCCACAUACUCCUGAGAAAAGGACAUCGGUCAUGACAUCAAAGUACAAGAAUCCAUCAAACUGCACUUCUGUAUCUCAUCUUCCCAAGGCUGCACUUGCUCUAUGGUCCUGCUGGCAAGAAGCCACCACAGAAAACAGAUUUACCCUGCUGGGAGCAGCCAGGUCCAAAUCAACAUCAAGCUGAAAUUACUGCAUGGAGCACUAAAAACCUUUGGUUUUGGCUUCUUAUGCAUGCAACUUUUGACUGCAAGCUCUGUCUGAACACGAUCAGCAUUAUUGGUACAACCUGCUCAGGAAAUCUCUAAAAAAGAUUGAGCCACUGCUGUAUGAUGAGGGAAGAUGUCUUGAUUUAAGAACACAGGCAUUACUAGAAAGGGAAAAAAUAAAAGGGUCCCUUACUGUUCUGACAUAUCAAAAGCAGACUAAUGAACCACUAGUUCAUAGAAUGACCCUGCUCAUCAUUUCAGAGCCAGGCUGGCCUUUUGUGUUAAGGACACUGAAUAACAAGAGCAAGAACAAACAGAAAGAAUCCUUUCCCCAUGCCCAAAGUAAAUUUUGAAAUGAAAUCAUUUAAAACUACACCCGGCUGCCCUACUUUAAGGUCCACUUAAGAACAGAUGAAAAGUUUUGUUCUAUUGGCAAAACUGAAUCAAGGCUUUUGAUCCUCAAAGAUCUCUUAAUCGCUUUGCACAUCAGUUCUUUUCAUUAUUUCAAACACACUUGAAGACAGCUCCCUUUUUCUCUCUCUCCCUUUUUUUCCCCCCCAAAAAAAACUUCUCUGUGUUUGGGCCAUUUUCCAGCCAACUGUGCCACUACAGCAGAAAGCUGUUGGUUCUUUACUCACUCCAAGUUGCAACAUAUACGCAUUGUGAUUUGCCUUAGGGAAGUCUCAAAAAGCCCGGCCCUUGCAACUAACUGUGCUAGCUCACAGCAUCCACCUCUUCAUCCUUCUAAUGCUUCACAAGAGUUCCAAGGAAGAUUAUAAGCCUCUGGUUAAAAAAAGAAAGUAGUUGUUGGUGGCAUUGUUAUUGUGUUGCAUUUGGUUUUGUUUCUUUUUCUUUUUUAAAGCUUGACUCAGAAUUGCAAUCUUGGCCACAUAAACUCAACUUAAUUCAAGGGUUCUUCAAAAUUUCACGUCUCUGCAAUUCCAUUAAGUCAAAUACUACACCAAAUCAGCAGUGCUGCACAAAAAACUUCUGUCAGAAGUGGUAAUAACUCUGGCCACCUUAGCACUCUAGUAAAUGGGAGGAGUGCUUAACCAGACUAAGAUAGAGCUUACCAACAAAUAUGUACAGUACCCUUCAGUUUUUUACUUAAUUCUUGCUCCUGGCUUUUAGCUCGCUAACUGAAAGGGCAGAGACUUUCUGAAACAAAGAUCAGCUGCUUGUUUGUGGUCUGUGAAUGAACUUGCCACAAGUGGACUGCUUACAAUUGUAAUAAAGACUAUAGACAGGAGAGGCAGGAGGUGGAGUCAGUUAGCUGGCUGACAAACUCAUGGGGGGGAUGGAUAACAUCAAAAACAAACUCCACCUGGAAAGCUGCAUGUAGGCAGUACAGCAGAGCAACAGUUUAAUGCGUUCAGUGCCGUAGGCAUUGUUUAGCAAGUGGGUGGAUGCUUUGUGAGCCAGCUUCAUCUACCCAAAUGGUGUCAAAGCCAUUGUAAACUGCCUUGUUAAAUGCUGGUCACAAAGCAAUACUGAGCCGAGGAGGGCCAGCAACAGAAGGCUCCUGGCUGCAUCAACACAGAACAGGCGUAUGCUCUGUCAUGAUAAAGGAUGCAGAUAAUAACUGUAUGCUGCUCCACAUGAACCUCUCAUUCAGGCCAGUCAAUACUGCCAGCCUGAGACCCACCAGCAGUUUCAGAGGAGACCGCCUUCAUGUGAUCUGGGUUACCAGAGACCCCUCCGUGUCCCCUUGUCAUUAACACAAGGAAAGAAUAUUCUUCUGUGAGAUCUGAUUUGAACUUACGCCCUCUGCAUGUAGCAAUCAAACAGUUCAGCCUCUCUAAGCCUCCUUUUUCCUUGCCUACUCUUAUUCUUGCAUUUAUACCCUUAAAGGCAGGGAAAUUCUGUCUAUAAAUAUAUACACUGCAUAGCAGCACACCGUUUGUACUGAUAUUUGAGCUUUCAGAUUCAGCCACAGUAAAAUAGUAUUUAGACCCUGGUCAUUUAUUCCAAUGUAGCAGAUGAGUCAGAUGAAACCCAGCUGAGACCACAGCAACCAUGACAGCCCUGCAAACCCACUUCAUUGGCAUCGAAUAGAGAGGACAAAACAGAUGCCCUCUGACAACUGCCCUCCAGCACUGCAGAGUUGUGGCUGUUGUGCAAGGAAAUAGCCAUUCCCCAACACCAAGCCCACACAGACCUCACAGAGGCUGUACGCAUCCACGCAGCACAACAGAAAGCAGACCUGGAAAGAUGAGUUUACUCUUCGCCAGCUUUUAGUAGCUGCUGAACAAAAAGCACCAGUGUUUGCCAGAGCACAAAGCUAGACAAGACAGGACCAAAAGGAAACCUACGAUUCCAGCCACCUCCUGACUAGCUCUGCAUAACAGGAGUGCCAGACACAGGCUGACAGCUAGCGCGUGGCAGGACAGAAUUGCUCUUCAGAGCAUCCCAAAGGAUAGUUUCUUCACCUACAGUCACAAGGGUUACUUGCUGUAGGCAGCUCCUAUUUUCCAACACCUUCCUGCAGCUCAGCCCUGUGUAUGUCACAAUCCACAGAUGAGUUCUUUGGCAUGGAUUUAUAUAUUUCUGUGCAUUCUACCUACUGGUGUCUGGCUGCUUGUAGAGAAAUUACUUUGCCCUUCCCAGAGCACACUGUAACAUUAAACCUUAUUUUACUUGGCAGCUAGAGAUCACUUCUCAAUCAGCUGUGAGAAAAAGACCCCUCAACUGAUGCAAAUAAACAUGGUUUUAUUUUUAAUUAGUACAUUAAAACAGCUUGUGUUCCAGGCUGUGCAGUACACAUCCAUCUCCAUAAAACCCCACGUGAAGGAGACCUUCUGACCUCUCUGAUGCUCUAGGAGAGGCUUUGUUUUACUCUUAGUAUCGCACAUUGAUAUGGAUAGAGAACUGCAGAAGCAUCCCUGACUGCUUUCUCCUUAUCCCCCAAGCAGUCUGUGGCCUGCUGUGAAGAUUACUCCUUCCAUUGAAAUAAAACAGUCUACUUGAAGGUGGGAAUUAAACAGAGUAUAGGUUUAACCUAGAGAACUGAACCUGUGGACUAAAUCUAACUAGCUUUUGUCCAUGGUCUUGCCUGUCGUGCUGAAGGUAGGCUUGAAAAGACCAUAUUUGAGAGCUAACUCACAGCAAACACAGUUUAGUGGUUCCUCAAGAACAGCAGGUCUGAACAUCCAGUGAAUAUUUAUCCUAGCAAGCCUAAUUUCUGAUGGCAGUGAUCUUACUCCUAAGAACCUUAAAUCACGGGUGUCCAGCACUAAAAUAUAAGCUCGUGAUAACCUCACCUAGCAUGGGUUCUUGGAAACACACAAGCAAUAGCAGCAGUAGCAGCAAACGGAGUAGGUGCUGUUCAAACAGCAGAACCAGUCAUUCUUUAGACAUACAGCUCCAGGAACAGACAAAAACAACCACUGAGAAAGCAUGAGGAGAGCAGUCCUGGAACACAUGUGAGAAACAAAUGCAAAGCUAAGCAGUGGCUCUAUCUUCUGUAGUUCCUGGCAUGGCACUAUGUUGGAUAUACAGGUUCUUUUUCAAGUAGAACCAAGUUUAAAUGAAAC